rnacentral:rRNA from 1 species
AUUGAACGCUGGCGGCAGGCCUAACACAUGCAAGUCGAGCGCGCGGCGGACGGGUGAGUAAAGUAUCGGGACUGCCCGCUAUGGGGGGGUAACUACUCGAGACGCUAGCUCAUACCGCAUACUCUCGUAUUGCCCCUAUGGGAUGAUCUAGUAGGUGCGGUACUGGCUCACCUAGGCGACGAUCCCUAGCUGGUCUGAGAGGAUGAUCAGCCACACUGGGACUGAGACACGGACCAGACUCCUACGGAGGCAGCAGUGGGGAAUAGUGCACAAUGGGCGAAAGCCUGAUGCAGCCAUGCCGCGUGUAUGAAGAAGGCCCUAGGGUUGUAAAGUACUUUCAGUGGGGAGGCGUUACCGACAGAAGAAGCACCGGCUAACUCCGUGCCAGCAGCCGCGGUAAUUC